CACACACACACGCCCUGGCGCGUUGGGUUGGAUCCGAGGCGUGUGGAACGCAGCACCUGGAUGCAAAUCUAAGCCGCAAGCAAUUAAGCGUGGGCUUACCGUUAAUUACGUGUUUACACACAGCGAGGCAGAGGGAGCGGGCCCGGCUCCCCGCUGAGGGGCGCCGGGUGCGGGGACACCGGGGACGCCGCCUCGGUGGCCUCCUCAGGGCAGCGCCUGGCUUGUCCUCGGCAGUCGCGGGAAGCACACGAGCGAACGCCACAACACGAGGGGUUUUUUUUUACAGCUAGACCUCGGGUCACAGAAAAGGGCCGGCUCUGGGAACUGAGGCCGUGAGAGCUGCCCCCCAGGAUUCACUUUUUUCCCCUCUGGCCCCACUCGGCCCCGUUUCCCCAGGCCCGGCCCCGUGCCGAGCCGUGCUGCCAGGCUCAGACCUCGGCCGGGGCUGCACGGAGGACACGAGGCAGGCCGGGCGCUCACAACCGGACGUGUCCCCAGUGCCUUCUGCAGGGCUGGCCUCAGCAAACGGGGCUCGGUGUGGUUCACGUCAAUGAAGUCUCCCGUACUGCUUCCUCCCCCACCGGGGAUGUGGGUGCUUUUUCUUUCUGUUGAGUGUUACGGUAAUUAUAAUGUGAAGGACAGUCAGGCCCUAAGCACCAACCCCAGGGGACACCAGGGUUUCGCUGCCGUGGCAGGGUCACGGGGAUGUGCUGGGACGCACACCAGCAGGGGACUGGUCAGGAGUCCCGGCCUGCUGCCUUGGCCAUCGCUGUGCAACCUUGGGCAAGUCACCCGGCCCUGCGACAUGCUGUUCCCCUGCCCUUUCUGAGCAUUUCUUCACUUUCCAAGACCGUUGCAAAACAGAAGUAUUUCUGCUGAUAGUCACGCUUGCAGUAGUUUCACGCACCUUAGGGUAUCUUCAAGAUUUUUUCCUUAAAACCUCAGCACCGGAGUUGAGUGGUAACGUCAAAAUCUGCUUGCAAAUAAAAACCAUUUUUGUAGACCUCUGCCGUGAUGCAUCCAGUGGACAGUGCUGGCAACAAGCAAAAUGUUGUCAUUGGGCUGCAGGAGCCCUGAACUGAGACAAACAAACACAAAAGGACUCAGAGGGUUUUUUUAACUCUCGUGCAUCACCUCCUCUCAGCCCUGCACAUCCACGCUCGCCUGUGGCUGGCCUUGCGAGCGCGUUCGUGCCCACAAGGAGAAGCUCUGCCCAAAGGCAGCGUGACGGGGCAGCCGGUCACACCUCCACUGCACCUGCCCCUGCUGAGAGUCUCCCUCCUCUGCUCUUCUUCUGUGCCCCACGCUGCUCCCCGGCAGGGAGGGCUGCAGGAAGACAAGAGAGAAACCCCACAUUUACAGACAGGGGAAAUGACUGCUGCUCGUGGUUAUUUUUCUCCUGGUCGGUCAGUUAUUUUUGUUAGCACUUAUUAAUAAGGCUGGUGAGAGUGCUCUUUGUUAAAGGCUCAAACUCGCCUCAGUUAAAGGCUAAGAAAACUACCCAAGCAUGUCACUGAGUCAUCGAAGAAAUCCCGAUGAGCACGUAGGAGGCUAAACUUGACGUUCUUGUUGGUUUUACAGUUAAAGAGCCAAGAGGGCAGAAAGCACCUUUCAGGAACAAAAAUGAGGAGGACACUCGGCACUUCCUUACUAAAUUGUAAGAGAGAAACGGGGAGUGGGAGCACUCGUCCCUCGGAGGAGCGGGGCUGAGCCCUCUCGGUGGGAGGACGAGGAGCAGCCCAGGCCCCUCGCACACCUGAGGUAUCCUGGCACCGGGAAGCGGCCGCCGAGGCAGGCUGCCUUCGGAGCGGAGCGAGCCCGAGAGCUGCAGAUAACCCCUGAGGGGGGAACGAACUCGUAGGAGCUGUAUUUAUAAAGGGCAAGUCUAUGCCAAACCUGACGAACUUUCCUUUACCCAGAAUUAUAACUGGAAAUAUAAAAAGCCACAGUGUUUGAAAACAUGUAUUUACAUUUUAUGUGCCCCAAAGCACAAUAAACAAAGGUUAGAUUAGUAAACUCUCCAUCUUAAUUAAAGCUGCACUGCUUUGGACAAACCCACAUAACAGGUGACUCGAAGUGUUAUGUUGUUUAAUUUAUACCUUCCAGCUGCCUUAGUCAUCGAGCUGGGACAGCGAUAACAUCAGCAGCCACCGUGCUGCUGCCUGGGUACUCGCGGCAAACAUGCAAAGGGAAUUUCUAGGGCAGCAGGAGCCGUGUGCCCCACUUAUCGCCGUCCUGAGGUGGCUCUUUCCUGCCUCUCAGAACAAAAAUCUUCCCCGUUUCUUCCUUACCGCUUCCUGCGUGGCAGGGAAGGACGGGAACGCUGCCAGGGUCCCUGCCUCCCCAGCCCAUGCUGGGCUCAUGCCAGCAGCAAUGCCCAACGCCCGCACGCAGCCCCGGUGCUGCCGUCCCCAUGGGAGCAGGAGCAGACCUCCUGUUGCCUGGUACGUGGUAUCCCCGGGGGCACCAGCCUCGGGAGGAAGAACUAACCACGGUUAAUUCGUCAGACCCACCUCACGCCUCCACACGCCCCGAGAGGAGCUGCUUCCUCCACGGCGGCCAGCCACGAAACGGUUAAGGAAGCGCCUGUGUGACGGGCGCCAUUAGCUGUCCUGCGGGGACAGGCGGCAGCUGGAUGCGGCCCCCAGCCCCGGGCAGGACCAAGCAAAACACCGCCAGUUUCGUCCCAGUCCCCCUGCAGAAACACCCCGUGCGUUAGAGCUGGCGGUGGGAUGCGGGUGGUGGAAGUGCAGUUUGUAUUUCUGCCUUGCCCGUGCCUCUCGCAGGGAUCUCAGCGCACCGGGCACGGGCCCGUGGGGCCAGGGGCUGCCACGCACCGGGGGGUGAGCCUGGCCCGCUGCGCUCCCACCCCGGUGCUUUGAGGAGGCCGCGCUCUCCCCGGAGCGUGCCUGCCCGCUGACAAACAGCGCUCCGAUUCUGUUGCGUGAGCGUGUGCUGGAAUUGCUAAGAAUAGAAAAUGUUGUCAAAUAUUUCAGCUUUAGAGAAGCCCCUGUCUGUUUGUGCUCUGCUCCCGGAGCGACGCGGCGUGCCUUGAAUUUCACAGCUUCGCGGGGCUGAAGAGCCCUCCGCCUCAACUUCCCUUUCAAACUCAUCCAGGAAGCUAAAAAGAGAUAGUAAAAUGUGAAGUUGGGAAAUGCACACUGAGGCAGAGCACACCCGUGACACGGGCUGCAGGAGCAGGGAGCACAACGGGGUCUGAGGGCACUGAGGGGCCGCACGGGUGGCUCGAGAGCAGGGGCUGCGAGUGGACUGCUUGCAAGCAAGGAAAGCUCUCAAGAAAUGGCUGCUGUGGCCAUGCCCCGUGGCAGCCCGCUGCCAUUGCCCAUCCUGUGCCAUGCCCCCGGGGGCAGUGCUGGUGCUGGCACUCACCAGCCCCAGGGCUCAGCAGGGAGCUGCCGCUGCUGGGCUCUGCGCAGAGCAUCCUCCUCGCCUGGUAAUUAGCGCGUCUGAAAGAUCACUCCACUUUUCAAAAGGGGAAAAUAGGAUGCAGGAAAUUACCAGCCAGCUUGGCUGAAUCACUGCAGAAAGGCAUUACGGCAAUCAAUGGAGAAGCAGCGAGAAGCUACUCAAAGGGAAGGAGCUUCAUUAACGGGCCACAGCAGGGAUGUCUGAGCGCUCCUUGGCUCCUUGUUUUCAGCACCAAACUUUGAGGUGCGCGGCAGCGGCGUGGGGAGAGAACCUGGGGAGAAGCAGGCGGCUGCUGGGGCAGCGUUAAGGGUGGGCUGAGGGGCCCGUCCCAGCGUUGGGGUCACCCUCCUGCCUUCCUGGAGGCACAGGGCAGUGCUCCAGCACCCUGCAGACCGGCGUGCCAGCUGCACCCACCGGCUGAGAGCGGGGCAAUGCCCACACACAGCGCCAGGCACGAGGGGAUGCCUUGAGCUGAAGCCCCUGGCUCCUGCUCUGCAGGGCCCCGUGCCAGGAGCCACGUCCCAUCCCCAUCGCAGCACAGGGGUGGCCGUUGGGGUGCCCUGUGCCGAGCAGCCCCCCGUCGAUCGCUCCCGUCUCUGCGAUUCCACCAGACCAACUCCCUGCUGCACCUUUCCUGACCCACGCUAAGGCAGCCCGGCGCAAUUCUCACAGCAGCUGGGUGCCCUCGCCCUGCAUGCAGAGCUGCCUCGGGGCCGGCCCCGUCCCCGCGGCGGAGCAGCACAGCUAAGUUUAGCCCGGCCACGCACGGGAAGCGGCGUUAUCUCAUCCCACCUCCUUGUCCUCAGCUGUGCGCACGCUAAUCUCCGCUUGGCACCUUGAGCUCGGAGCUGCCCCGCGCUGCGAGUACCGAGUGUCCUUUUAUUAUUAUUUUGGUCAUUUCCACCACAACUUUUUCCCAGCGAGCAGCUGCUGUCAUCUGUUGCGCGCCCGGCACCAGGGCGGAAGCGCUGCUCCUCCUGCCGCUCGCCGCCGCCACGCUGGCCACGGGGACGUGUGGCUGGCUGCUGGCUUCCCCGCUAUCUUUGGGCACAGGCAAAGCGCCUGCAGGCACCCCGCACGCAGGGCUGCCCCUCACGGCACACGAGGUGCGUGCCGGGGGAGCCCCGGGGCACCCUGUGGCACGGUGCCAUCAGUGCCACAGCACCGGUGCUGAGCAGUGCGAGCCACCCGCGCUUAACAUCAGAUCCGGCGCCGUUCCUCGGUUCCAUGCACAGUUGUGAUGCACACAGAGCCAGAAUUAUUUGUUUCCUACAGCUCGGAGACCUCCUGGUGUGCACGCCGACCCCCGGCAGACCGUGCCGGUUUGUACCACCCUGCCUGCCCUGGCCUCCGCGCUGCGCCCGUCGCAAAAGCUGCUUCCAGCUUCGCACCGGAUUGGAGAGCUUCGGGAGAGGCAGCGCGCAGCAGUUCCUCUGCAGCGUGCUCCUCCGGUUAAUCACCAGUGACCAUUUUUAGUAAUAAUCCCCGAGGGGCCGAGGGCCGCGCAGAAACAUCCGCUCCUGCCUCGCUCCCCUUCCCACCACCUGCCCCAGCUCCUCGGGCGCGAGGGGCAGGCGGCAGCGGGCACAGCAGGUCAGUGCUUCCAGGGAAAAACACAGCCACUGAAUUAGAGCAGCCGAGCCGGCGAGGAAAUCCGAGCGCUAAUCCCCGAUCUUUCCCUGGCACACGGCAGAGCUCUGGCGAGCCUCUCCCCGCCCCGGCCGCAGCUGGAGGCCGUGGAUAACGCCGCGUCGCCUUCCCGCAGGGCUGCAGCGAGUGACGGCCGUGGAGGCACCGAGGUCCCGCGGGCAGGGAGCGGCGGAGCCGCAGCGCCCACACCGAGCGGUGGCCCCGGCGCCGGGCAGGGCUCCAGCCCCGCGCGUGCCUCCGCGCCCACGCUGCCCCAGCUUGUUUGUUCUUCGCUGUUUGCUUUUGCAGGACCUGCGCGCGCGUGUGUGCGGAGCGGGGGGGUUAACCUCAUUUGUGAGUUAUGGAUUUUCUCAAAGUGAUCGAUGUCGGUGCGGUCGCCCGCCCUGCUCGGCUGGGGCGAGCACCCGGCACGUCCGAGCACGAGGCUCUGCCCGGGGGCUCCGCCAGCUGCCUGGGCCCUGCCGCAUGGACCGGGUGUCCGGCAGCGCCCGCGGAGCAGCGCCCAUGCCAGGAGGGCUCACGUGUGGCCAGGAGGCUGCAGCUGCUGCGUGCCAGCAGGGACUGGGUGCGGGGAGGCCACGGCUGCCAGCCCUGCGAGCGCGGGCAGAGGCCAAGCCUCAGAGCACUGCCACGUGCAGGGGACGCACCGCGUGUUACCAACCCGAUGUCUCGUUCCUAAAAUCCCAACCUGCUCUCUUCAUCACCCUGCUGCUGCCACUCGGUCAGCGGAAAGAUUACUACCCAGGCCCCUGCUCAAGUAUUAAUCGUAAGACGUUUGGGAUUAAAAACAUACCUGUCCCUGCAGAAAUGCAGCACGAAGCACUGGGGUGCCGCAGCCCAGCUCGGGCUGUUUUGCCACCCGCCGCAGCCUCACCUCGCACAGCCUCACCUCGCAGCCUGCGGCUCCUCCUGCACUUUAGAGAUGUGCACACAUGGAGGGAAGGAGCGGCAAGGCGGUGAAAGAGGCCAGAUUCAAAUUCAAUGCAAAGCAGCGCAGAGGAAGUUUUUCCUAGUGCUGCUACGAGCCUAAAACAGCAUCAAAAAUCACUAGGAGAAGUCAGUCCUGCUCUUUGCUGGAAGGAAAGCGCCCAGAGCUCAGCAAACUGCCGAGUUCCUGCAGGUGUUUCAUUUUUAAAUCCCCACUCCCAGGGGCCACGUGUGCCACCCCACGGGUGCUGGUGGCUUUUUGCAGCCUCAGCUCCUCCCGUGGUAACACAGCCCCGUGCUGGCCGCUCCCAGGCACACGUCCCCGUGGUCUGGUGGGCUGCUCACGGCAUCAGCCCUCCGGGGCACAGCCCUUUCUUGUAAGAAAUGGGUAUUUUUAAAAUCUAUUAGACCCGAAGAGUGAAACCUUAGCUGACUCAUACAAAUAUGAAACUCUCUUACGGGAUGAAUUAAAGCUAUUCAAACAGAGGUAAUUACUCAUGCGAACAAUGCCCUUCUCAUCUCUUUAAUGAUCACACAAAUUAGUGCAUAAAAUUACGUUAAUAGCCCCGUAACUGCUGCACAGGCACUCAGACCUCCGGUUUGCAGAGGCUGAGCUUCGUAAACCUGGGACUGCACCGAGCGGAGCCAACGUGGGGCCACGGCACGGCGAGGGCAGGCGAGCUCCCGACCCGUGUGCGUCCUGUGCCGGCCCCGAGCAGCGGCAGGAGGGGUAGCACAAUGCUUGGCACGGAGCAAACCACACGGGUACGUCAGGCACCGCAGCCUGAGUCACUCCCGCCCUCGUGCGUGCGGCAGAGAGGUUUUAGGGAGCAGCCCUUGCACAGGGAGCUACUUGGAAUCUCACCGCAGUUUCCAUCGGUUCAGCUUUCAUCGGUUCAGCUUUCCGUUUGGAAGCCUCACCUGCAGUUUAAGACAGACUGUUCUUCCCCGCGCGGGAGCAGUCAGGGACGUUUUGCACUCAGCAGAGGGGAAGCUGGACGCUCAUCAAACCUGCAGCUGGUUUUUGGCAGGUCUAGAAAUUAUUAAAUAGUUUUGGUGUAAAGCUAGAAACGACCUGCUGUCAUCAGGAGCGAGAAAUCUCGGGCCACGACUGACGCUGCCGGAUCAAUGAAUGAGCCUGCUGUUCUAAAGCAGAAGUUUCUGUUCGAAAAAACCCAACAAACAACAACAAAAUAAAAAACCCAAACUGUGGUUUCUAGGAGAAACCACAAGUUUUCUAACCGUUUCUAUUUCAGUGCUAAUGUUAGGUUUAUUAAGUACCCCGCUAUCAGCAUGAUGUGGGAUUGAGGAGGACAGCUUCCCUCCCUCCCCACCACGCUUCCCGCACCGCCUGCACAAUGCAGGCAGUCUCACGCUCCGCUACAGGCAGGCAGCUGCAGAGGCCGAGGGCAAAACAGAGGGGCCACACAUCUCCAGGGCAAACAAUUGCCCUCAGUGUACCAACAAAACGACAGCUCUGGAGUCGCGAGGCCGUCCCAAAGGGCAGGUUCCCCGCGCACGAAGCGCUGCUCACGGUGUGGGUUUGAGGCACGGACAGCCGGGAACGCCCAGGGGACGAGGGGCUCGAGCCCACCUCCCCGGGGAGGCAGAGCCGCCCGAGGAACCCGCCUGCUUCCACCCUGCUAUGGCAAGCAAAACCACUCAGGAGCUGGGUCAAAAUCCCAUAAGAUCCAUCCUGGAAGGAGCGCUAGCAGGGCAGCUAACGUGGUCCGGCUGCCUUCCUUCCAGCAUAACCUGUCUCUGCUAGUUUAUGUAAGACAAUAAAACAAACCCGAAGCGAGUUGGGCCCAGCAGCAGUAGCCGCUCAGGACGACUCGCACGGCCCGUGCCUGGAAGCGAACGUUCCCCGCGAGAGAAGUUCAGCGGGCGCUGACUUGGGUUAAUUUUCACCCCCAGCCCCAGGCGCCGCAGGGGGAGACGCGGGACGCGGAGCCCAGGGCCCUGCUUUCGGCAGGCACCGCUCCCGGCUCCCCCGCUGCGUAGCUACGUUAACGAGCCCACAGCGAGGCGGUGCGAUUAAAACCAGGAGAGCAUCAAAGUCAGACUCCUCCACCUGAGCAGCUCCAGCGCUGCCAACACGGGUGCACAGCGCGUUUCUGACACCAGCUCCUCGACUGCGGAGGCCACGGCGUCAGUCCAUCAGCGAACUGCGACGCUCUGCCCCCAAACAGCGAGCAGUGCCGGCCGCUGCAGACGAGGUUCGGGAAAAAAAGGCACUUGGGGAAAGCCCUGAUCCGCCCCAGUUAAGUUCCCUGCUCCAUCAGAGGCACGUUUGGCUGUUAACAGUAGCACAGUAACAAAAGAUCUUAGAGGAGGAAGGUCUAGAGGCACAAAACACAACAGAGCUCCGCACCGCAAACAGCUUUAUUGGAGGACCCCACGGCGCGUUACAAACACCGGUGCUGUCGCAGCGCCACGCAGCACGCACCGCCUGCCACACGCCGGACAACAAAUUCAACAGGACUGCUCUCCCUCGACGUGGGAAGCCAAAAUGAGAAAAAGCACUUCAGAAUUGCUCCGUUCCCUUCCAUUUUCCAGGUGAAAUGAAAAUGCCGUUUCCACUUAGACGGGAGGAUCAGCAGUUUUCGCUCAGGGGUGCGACGCCCACCAGUCCGUUAAGAGAUCAGACUUCAGGAGCUUUGCACGAACACGGAAGGGUCCACGAGUAUCAACACAAACGUGGUGCUCUCCUCUUCCUCGGCACGCAGACAGCAGCGCCCCGCUGCUCGCCCCCGCCCCGGGAGGGCUGGCCUUCCAGCGCCGCGAUGUUUACUACUGCUGCAAACCACUCCGAGAUAAUCACUGAAGCAAACAGUCACCAAGGAUUUGCCGCUUACGCAGCUCAGCCGCACACAACAGAACCCAACAGCCACAGCACCAACCCCCCACGCACACCUCUUACCUGCGGGCUCUCGGGGGUGCCUGGAGGACCAGGCUGGACAUUUUUAAAGCCUUUUUGCCCCUCUAGCAUGACGGCCUGCGCUGAUAUUCAAGACAUCUCAAAGUCAGCUGAAAAUCCCUUAAAUUAAUGUGACAUUACUUUAACUAGCUCAUUACCUUGCCUAGAAUCAGUGGCUUGGGCUGGACUCCCCGGGUCAGAACCCAGCCUCCCGCACUGCUGACAGGGGACCGGCCCCUUCAGCAGGGUCCCAGCCCUUCCCUCUCGCUCCCCCGUGCAGCUCACUUUCUUUCCAACCCUUACGCCAUCCGAGCAGUCCUCUCCCAAUCCCACGUUUGGGUUUGGUUUGGUUAAACCGAACUCUUCAGGUUUCCUUUUGUGAAAUAAAAGGUUUUGCUUCCCUGAGCACCCUCCUAACCCUUGCUUUACGACUGCUCCAAGUUUCACCUUUCCUGCACAGAUGACAGAACUGAUCAGAACCCAAGGGUUUGCGGUUUGGGGCCAAACUCCCCAGUGCUCUACAGCACGCACCUGCCUGUCUUCAAGCACACACCGUGCUCUGCUCCCUUCAUUCCCACCGCCCAACUUCUCUGGCACGAGCCACCCCACCUCCGCAAACCCCUGAUCACCGCUCACCCCUCAUCUCUGCUGCCCUUCCCCACUCCGCCCCACCUGGCACUAGCCCACGGCCACCUGAGCACCUACAGUCUGUCCUUUGCAUAACGGCUCUUGCCUUCCCUUCCCCAGCUACGGUGCCUUUACAAUCAGGAUUCGUCAACUUUGGCUAAAAAGAGCAGACAGUGCCCACGUACACAUCUUCGGCAACACAGCAUUCCCGCAGGGAGAUCCCAGCCCGUACGAACCGUCACCGUACGCUGGCGUUCCGUACGCCAGCACGCCACGAUUAAAACCCAGACCCGCUCUCCUGCCCCAGUCACAAACACAUUCCUGUCCGGAAACAGAGCCGGCCUCCUGCCCUGCUCCGCUUCCCCGCCGUCCAGGAACAAACUUCACUCACCCAUUCCUGAGAGCAAAACGUACCUAACGAGUAUCCCAUCCCCACAUUGCCCUGAGCACCUUCGGCUCUCAGCUCGCUGGCACGCCCCUAGACUGGCAGAUGGCUACGGGUUGUGCAGAAAGCUCCCUGCUCAGCGCUGACACCAACUCGCGGCACGUUUAACUUAAACCAAACACGAGCAAUGUUCUUCCAGGCAACUAAUGGAACGGUCACGUAGUUUGCGUUGAAUUACGAGGAUAUUCACCCCGGGAAGGUGCCGCGGACACGCCUGGCACCCUCGAGCGGCAGCGGCGCCGUUACCCAGCCGCCCACGUCACGGGGCGGCGGCACACGGCUGCCUGCUGCUACCGGCCGGCUCCUGAUAACCCCGUUACUGCUCGGCUCCUGCACAGGGCCUCAAAAGUCCACCAACACUUGAGAGCACAAGCGCUGGGAAGCUUUACAGGCACUCAGUUUCUAACCGGCACUUCACGGGAUGGCAGAGGGGAGGACUGAGCCUGAUUCACCUUUUUCCCGUGCGCUCCCUCCUUUACUUGUUACCAACAACACUAACAGCAUCCUUUUUUAAGCAGUUCGGAUCCUUUCUUCUUCUCCCCCACUCUCAGUGAAUUCUGCCCAUUUCCCAGGGUAACUGGUCCCUUAUUCAGAAGCUCCAACAUCAGUGCUUCCUGCGGAACAGCAGAUCUUUGUUGAAUACAAAAGCUUUUUGUCUGAAAACGUGAAAUUUAACAAUGUUACAGUUUCUGGUGGCAAGCAGACUCGUUAUCAACAAAUGAUGACAACCAUGCAUGUUUUUUAAAAAUUUUAUUUGUCAAAGAAAAAAAGGCAGUAGCCAAUUGAAAACCUACUUAAUCUUUAACUCCAAUUUUUGACUUUAAAUUUAGAGAAACGACUUAUUGAUUUACUUUGUUUAAACAAACCCCCCUUUUUCCCCUUUAACGUUUACCAUCUACUCGUGCUGAAUCCUUCCAAGGAGAUUGCUCCAGCGUACCUCUCCAGGUCCUCGCUUUGCUCCUUUUACCAAAAAAUGAAAAACUCCAUCGUGCAUCAUAAGGGCUCCAAUCGUCAAAAAUAGGAAAAAAAAAUCUUUGGA